CCUACGGGAGGCAGCAGUGGGGAAUAUUGGACAAUGGGCGAAAGCCUGAUCCAGCCAUGCCGCGUGUGUGAAGAAGGCCUUCGGGUUGUAAAGCACUUUCAGUGGGGAAGAAAGCCUUGGGGCUAAUACCCUCGAGGAAGGACAUCACCCACAGAAGAAGCACCGGCUAACUCCGUGCCAGCAGCCGCGGUAAUACGGAGGGUGCGAGCGUUAAUCGGAAUUACUGGGCGUAAAGCGCGCGUAGGCGGUCUGAUAAGCCGGUUGUGAAAGCCCCGGGCGCAACCUGGGAACGGCAUCCGGAACUGUCAGGCUAGAGUGCAGGAGAGGAAGGUAGAAUUCCCGGUGUAGCGGUGAAAUGCGUAGAGAUCGGGAGGAAUACCAGUGGCGAAGGCGGCCUUCUGGACUGACACUGACGCUGAGGUGCGAAAGCGUGGGUAGCAAACAGGAUUAGAUACCCCUGUAGUC
rnacentral:rRNA from 1 species